rnacentral:lncRNA from 1 species
GCAUUUCUAAGGUAUUUGAAUAUCGCACCACGGGAUUCCACUGGCUGUUGAGUAGGUGGGACGGUGAGUAGGUGGGACGGUGAGUAGGUGGGACGGUGAGUAGGUGGGACGGUGAGUAGGUGGGACGGUGAGUAGGUGGCUGUUGAGUAGGUGGGACGGUGAGUAGGUGGCUGUUGAGUAGGUGGGACGGUGAGUAGGUGGGACGGUGAGUAGGUGUCUGUUGAGUAGGUGGGACGGUGAGUAGGUGGGACGGUGAGUAGGUGUCUGUUGAGUAGGUGGGACGGUGAGUAGGUGGGACGGUGAGUAGGUGUCUGUUGUGUAGGUGGGACGGUGAGUAGGUGGGACGGUGAGUAGGUGUCUGUUGAGUAGAUGGGACGGUGAGUAGGUGGGACGGUGAGUAGGUGUCUGUUGAGUAGGUGGGACGGUGAGUAGGUGGGACGGUGAGUAGGUGGGACGGUGAGUAGGUGUCUGUUGAGUAGGUGGGACGGUGAGUAGGUGGCUGUUGAGUAGGUGGCUGUUGAGUAGGUGUGACGGUGAGUAGGUGGGACGGUGAGUAGGUGGGACGGUGAGUAGGUGGGACGGUGAGUAGGUGGGACGGUGAGUAGGUGUCUGUUGAGUUGGUGGGACGGUGAGUAGGUGUCUGUUGAGUAGGUGGGACGGUGAGUAGGUGGCUGUUGAGUAGGUGGGACGGUGAGUAGGUGGGACGGUGAGUAGGUGUCUGUUUAGUAGGUGGGACGGUGAGUAGGUGGGACGGUGAGUAGGUGUCUGUUGAGUAGGUGGGACGGUGAGUAGGUGGGACGGUGAGUAGGUGUCUGUUGAGUAGGUGGGACGGUGAGUAGGUGGGACGGUGAGUAGGUGUCUGUUGAGUAGGUGGGGCGGUGAGUAGGUGGGACGGUGAGUAGGUGUCUGUUGAGUAGGUGGGACGGUGAGUAGGUGGGACGGUGAGUAGGUGGGACGGUGAGUAGGUGUCUGUUGAGUAGGUGGGACGGUGAGUAGGUGGGACGGUGAGUAGGUGGGACGGUGAGUAGGUGUCUGUUGAGUAGGUGGGACGGUGAGUAGGUGGGACGGUGAGUAGGUGGGACGGUGAGUAGGUGGGACGGUGAGUAGGUGGGACGGUGAGUAGGUGUCUGUUGAGUAGGUGGGACGGUGAGUAGGUGGGACGGUGAGUAGGUGGCUGUUGAGUAGGUGGGACGGUGAGUAGGUGGGACGGUGAGUAGGUGGGACGGUGAGUAGGUGGGACGGUGAGUAGGUGGGACGGUGAGUAGGUGUCUGUUGAGUAGGUGGGACGGUGAGUAGGUGGGACGGUGAGUAGGUGGGACGGUGAGUAGGUGGGACGGUGAGUAGGUGGGACGGUGAGUAGGUGGGACGGUGAGUAGGUGGCUGUUGAGUAGGUGGCUGGUGAGUAGGUGGGACGGUGAGUAGGUGGGACGGUGAGUAGGUGGGACGGUGAGUAGGUGGGACGGUGAGUAGGUGGGACGGUGAGUAGGUGGCUGUUGAGUAGGUGGGACUUCUGAUAAUAUGUUUGCUCUAACUGCUUUUUUAAAAACAGAAAUGAAAUCUGACAACUGGAGGUUGGCAUCUUUUAAUAAGGCAUACUCCAAUUACGGUUUUCAAUGAUUACCAAGAUUCUUAGUGACCUUUUUAUGAAUUACAAUGAUUUUACUUUUAGAGGUUAACCUCUCUAGGGUAGGUGGCACCAAACCAUCCCACCUACGUAACAGCCAGUGUAAUCCCGUGGCGCAUUAUUCAAAAACCUCAAAAAUGCAAAAACUUCCAUUUUUCAAACAUAUGACUAUUUUACACCAUUUUAAAGACAAGACUCUCGUUAAUCU